rnacentral:tRNA from 1 species
AUUCAGAUGGCUGAGUGGUCAAAAGCGCUGGCUUUGAAUUCCAGUUUAUUUUUAUAAGCGAAGGUUCAAAUCCUUCUCUGUUCU